rnacentral:rRNA from 1 species
AGCGAACGCUGGCGGCAGGCCUAACACAUGCAAGUCGAACGAACCCUUCGGGGUUAGUGGCGGACGGGUGAGUAACACGUGGGAACGUGCCUUUAGGUUCGGAAUAACUCAGGGAAACUCGUGCUAAUACCGAAUGUGCCCUUCGGGGGAAAGAUUUAUCGCCUUUAGAGCGGCCCGCGUCUGAUUAGCUAGUUGGUGAGGUAAUGGCUCACCAAGGCUACGAUCAGUAGCUGGUCUGAGAGGAUGACCAGCCACAUUGGGACUGAGACACGGCCCAAACUCCUACGGGAGGCAGCAGUGGGGAAUAUUGCGCAAUGGGCGAAAGCCUGACGCAGCCAUGCCGCGUGGAUGAUGAAGGUCUUAGGAUUGUAAAAUUCUUUCACCGGGGACGAUAAUGACGGUACCCGGAGAAGAAGCCCCGGCUAACUUCGUGCCAGCCGCCGCCGUAAAAC